CAUCACACUGGAAUUAACGAAGCGUUUUGAUGCCCUUGAGUCUGAACAGGGUUGCGAGAUGGAAGGACACAUGGCAGAUGAAGGUUUAACUGCAGCCGCUGUGGGGACUGGUGGGCGAAAGCGCAGGAGGACAACGACAACAGAUGGUCAGGACCCUGGAGAAGGAACAUCAGGCAGCCACAAUCCAUAUGACGAACCCUCCACAAAUGGUCAAGGGGCUGCUGAAGAUUCUGGAAUGGCAAGGGCGAUUUCAGGUGGGUAUGAGACUACACAUAACACAGUAGGUCAAUCACCACGGUGGCCCUGGGCGGGAGGCCCGCAGCAGAGGGGUGCGGCACCAAUUGCGUAUGCAGCACCUGAGAUGACAUGGUUGGGGGGUUAUUGGCCCCCAGUGGGGCCGCAAUGGUUCGGAUGGAACAUGACAGGUUCACCCCCCUUGCAAUCAGUUAUGGCGGUUGAAGGUAAGAACGCAGCACCACCACAACACCCGUCAGUGCCCAAUACAGGUUAUAACACGGUCCCGAUUGCAGCUAUUCCAUACACGGACUACAGUUCGCCACUGGGAGAUCACCUGACGACAGCGGUUAAGGAAAAAAUUUGGCGAGGAGAUUACAUUGACUUUUAUGAAUUGCUUAACCGGGAAUUUGAAGUGAAGGAGAUUGAUAAGGAUGACGAAAAACUGAAAGAAAAGCAUAGGCGUAAAAGGCCAGAUAGGAAUUGGAACAAUUGGGUUACGGGCUUUACCAUAUAUGCAGGUGUUUUGGUGAAAAUGCAACCUUGGAAGGCAUCUGCCUUGUUCCAAUACUUUGACAUUAUGCGCAGAGCAAAGGCUGAGUUUGAGGGACAGGCUUGGUUGAGGUACGAUGAGGCGUUCAGGAUGAGGAGUGCAAUCAGGCCGGAAUUGUGAUGGGACGACACACAUCCGGGGCUCUGGUUACAGCACAUGUCACCAGCAAAGACGAGCUUAGGUGAUAGAUUUGAUUGUGGGCACCUGAAUAUAAAGUACUCAGGUAACACCGGUACCCGCCAAGGGGCGGGGCA
rnacentral:lncRNA from 1 species